rnacentral:rRNA from 1 species
AGCGAACGCUGGCGGUAGGCCUAACACAUGCAAGUCGAACGGCAGCACAGUAAGAGCUUGCUCUUACGGGUGGCGAGUGGCGGACGGGUGAGGAAUACAUCGGAAUCUACUUUUUCGUGGGUGAUAACGUAGGGAAACUUACGCUAAUACCGCAUACGACCUACGGGUGAAAGCAGGGGAUCUUCGGACCUUUCGCGAUUGAAUGAGCCGAUGUCGGAUUAGCUAGUUGGCGGGGUAAAGGCCCACCAAGGCGACGAUCCGUAGCUGGUCUGAGAGGAUGAUCAGCCAGACUGGAACUGAGGAACGGUCCAGACUCCUACGGGAGGCAGCAGUGGGGAAUAUUGGACAAUGGGCGAAAGCCUGAUCCAGCCAUACCGCGGGGGUGAAGAAGGACUUAGGGUUGGAAAGCCCUUUUGUUGGGAAAGAAAAGCAGCAGGUUAAUACCCCGCUGUUCUGACGGUACCCAAAGAAUAAGCACCGGCUAACUUCGUG